AGCAUAAUUGUUAGCAGCUUGGAUUGGUAAAAAAUCAGACCAAAUCUACCAUGGCUUGUAGAUGCGGGAGGCUGUGUCCUACUUGAUGCUUUUAUUUUAAUCCAAUUCAUCUACUUCCAUUGUCGGUCAUCUCGAGAUGUAGGUUAUAAGCACGGAAACUCUAAUUCAGCUUAGCAGAUGAUGACAAAAAAAUAAUUCAAGGUAUCUCCAACUGUUUAUGCAUGUGUGUGCAUGAAACCAUGUCUGUAUGGUCUUAGGCCGAUAAUUGUUCAUUGUAGCCUUGAUUUUCUUAUUUCCAUUUUUUGUUUGGAAGAAGGGUACACUUAAAGUGAUAAUACUUACUUAGAUAUGAUACUGCUCCAUCAUGUGGUAUUAAAGCUUUGACAUCAACCAUAACAGUGGAAACACAAAAACUCUUGUUACUGAAGGUAUAGGCAACCCAAGACGGUGGGUCAAUUGGGUUUCA